rfam:Schistosoma mansoni strain Puerto Rico chromosome 6, complete genome
GCACCGCUGAGGAGUCCAUAGUAGGACGAAACGGUCGUCCAGUGC